AUACAUGCAAGUCGAGCGAAUCGAUGGGAGCUUGCUCCCUGAGAUUAGCGGCGGACGGGUGAGUAACACGUGGGCAACCUGCCUAUAAGACUGGGAUAACUUCGGGAAACCGGAGCUAAUACCGGAUACGUUCUUUUCUCGCAUGAGAGAAGAUGGAAAGACGGUUUACGCUGUCACUUAUAGAUGGGCCCGCGGCGCAUUAGCUAGUUGGUGAGGUAAUGGCUCACCAAGGCGACGAUGCGUAGCCGACCUGAGAGGGUGAUCGGCCACACUGGGACUGAGACACGGCCCAGACUCCUACGGGAGGCAGCAGUAGGGAAUCUUCCGCAAUGGACGAAAGUCUGACGGAGCAACGCCGCGUGAACGAAGAAGGCCUUCGGGUCGUAAAGUUCUGUUGUUAGGGAAGAACAAGUACCAGAGUAACUGCUGGUACCUUGACGGUACCUAACCAGAAAGCCACGGCUAACUACGUGCCAGCAGCCGCGGUAAUACGUAGGUGGCAAGCGUUGUCCGGAAUUAUUGGGCGUAAAGCGCGCGCAAGUGGUUCUUUAAGUCUGAUGUGAAAGCCCACGGCUCAACCGUGGAGGGUCAUUGGAAACUGGGGAACUUGAGUGCAGAAGAGGAAAGUGGAAUUCCAAGUGU
rnacentral:rRNA from 1 species